CUCCGAAUGAUGACGUGC
rnacentral:snRNA from 1 species